rnacentral:lncRNA from 1 species
GUAUUGCUCCUGGUGUCAGAAACUGAAACCAGGAGCAGUUUUUGUGUGUUGAUCCAGCAUUUUAAAUGAAUAGAUAUGCAGGUUUGGCAGUCUGAAGUCUGGAAAUAGAGGGGGAGAUAUUUGGAAAAUAAGACACUACACCCUUUCUUUAACAAAACAAGUGUUUAUUAACUAAAGAAGGAGAAAAGAAUAUAAUAAAAGAAAUGAGACAGUCAAAUUUAAAUGUGUAUCAAACAAAGAGGAGGGGCAGAUGCUAAAACAUCGCAGCAUAGUGCUGCUCACAGAAUACUUACCUGGAAAGACUUCAUUUGUUGAGUUGACCUCUGUCCUGGCUCCCUUGUGGUUGGAUAUUUUCUCCCUGAUACUGAGAACUGUUUGUGUGCCUGUUGUUUUUCUUGGUCCUUCUUUUUCUGCUGGACUGUUUAUACUUCUUGGUCUGUUUCUUUCUCUGCCAGUCUGUUGAUUUUCCUUGCUCUGUCAGGCAUUUUAUAUUUAUAUCCGAUAGGGCAUUUUUAUAGGGUUGAAGCUGUUUAUCAGCCCAUCUCAGAUCGGAGUGAUCAUUCCUUUAUUUUUUUGGCAAGCAAUGACUUAAGAGCAUUGACAAAAGAAGUUUUCUCCGUAAAUAAUGUGGGGGGAUCUGUUGAUUCAGGUAGAAGGAUAUUGUUAAUUACAUCUUCCCGAUGGGAAGGAUAUAACAAUCCCAUUUGCUUUUAAGUUUUACAAUGCACUUAGCAUGGGUGCAUCUUAGCAUCCAUUUAAUCUUUUGUCCUAUAAAAUAAUACAGAGAAC